GUUCAAGGCCACUGGUAUGCCCUGGAAGGAUUAAAACAAAUACACACACAGGAAAAGGGAUCUAUGUCUAGGAGAGAAUACGGAAUCAGAGUUAAGUCGAGACAUCAUCCGCAGUCACUAACAGUUGAGCUGUACACAGUUCAUGCAUCAUGGUUCAAGUCCACAGGUAUGCCAUGGAAGGAUCAAACACAUACACACAAGCAUGCACUGGUGCAUACCAAUACCAACCUCUAACAUAAGAUUACUAUGUUUGACAUACACAU